AUUGAACGCUGGCGGCAGGCCUAACACAUGCAAGUCGAACGAGUGGCGGACGGGUGAGUAAUGUCUGGGAAACUGCCUGAUGGAGGGGGAUAACUACUGGAAACGGUAGCUAAUACCGCAUACCCUCAGAUGUGCACAGAUGGGAUUAGCUUGUUGGUGGGGUCACGGCUCACCAGGGCGACGAUCCCUAGCUGGUCUGAGAGGAUGACCAGCCACACUGGAACUGAGACACGGGCCAUACUCCUCCGGGAGGCAGCAGUGGUGAAUAUUGCACAAUGGGCUCAAGCCUGAUGCAGCCAUGCCGAGUGUAUGAAGAAGGCCGUCGGGUUGUAAAGUACUUUCAGCGGGGAGGCGUUACCCACAGAAGAAGCACCGGCUAACUCCGUGCCAGCAGCCGCGGUAAUUC
rnacentral:rRNA from 1 species